rnacentral:rRNA from 1 species
GACGAACGCUGGCGGCGUGCUUAACACAUGCAAGUCGAACGGUGAAGCGCCUUCCUUUUUGGUGGGUGUGGAUGAGUGGCGAACGGGUGAGUAACACGUGAGUAACCUGCCCCCUUCUUCUGGAUAACCGCAUGAAAGUGUGGCUAAUACGGGAUAUUCUGGGUCUGUCGCAUGAUGGGUCUGGGAAAGAUAUUGUUUCGGGGGGGGAUGGGCUCGCGGCCUAUCAGCUUGUUGGUGGGGUGAUGGCCUACCAAGGCGGUGACGGGUAGCCGGCCUGAGAGGGUGGACGGUCACACUGGGACUGAGACACGGCCCAGACUCCUACGGGAGGCAGCAGUGGGGAAUAGUGCACAAUGGGCGCAAGCCUGAUGCAGCGACGCCGCGUGAGGGAUGGAGGCCUUCGGGUUGUGAACCUCUUUCGCCAGUGAAGCAGGCCUGCCUCGUUUGUGGGUGGGUUGACGGUAGCUGGAUAAGAAGCGCCGGCUAACUACGUG